rnacentral:rRNA from 1 species
UACGGGGGGGCAAGCGUUGUUCGGAAUUACUGGGCGUAAAGGGCUCGUAGGUGGCCAACUAAGUCAGACGUGAAAUCCCUCGGCUUAACCGGGGAACUGCGUCUGAUACUGGAUGGCUUGAGUUUGGGAGAGGGAUGCGGAAUUCCAGGUGUAGCGGUGAAAUGCGUAGAUAUCUGGAGGAACACCGGUGGCGAAGGCGGGUCUCUGGGCCGAUAUUGACGCUGAGGAGCGAAAGCGUGGGGAGCGAACAGG